GGUUUGAUGCCACGUUAUUGAUAGCUCAAGGUUGGUGACCUGCUAAUUAUUAAACCAAAAACAAGUUUUUUUCGCCUUGAUAGAAAUCUGUUCAUCUUUUCUGUAUAGAACCGUUUGGUGUGAUUACAUUU